AGUGAAAAACAGAACUCAGACUUUUGUGAACACUGAAAGCCACCAUGAAUCGUUUGGCACUUGCUCUCAUUCUCCUUGUUGCAGUAGCAGGAGUUAUUGGCGAAAGAGAUUUUACGAAAGAAGAACUCCAAAGAUGUGGAACACCGCAUAAGGGAAUUUGUUUCAGGAACUCCUGCCCUCCACGUUGGAAUGAAAUUAAUGGAAUAUGCCAUGCUCAUUUCAGGUGCUGCAGUCGUAGGCUAUUUGAUUCCACAGAGUGAGACUAUGACGACAGAAAAAAUGUGUCUGAAACUGUUUGGUGAUACAAUAUAUAUUCACAAUAGUUAAUGUGCUUAAUUUUUCCCUCUUACUUUAUAAAAGCUACUACAUUUAAGAGAAAGAUUCACACUGUAAACCCAAAUUCAGUUGCAUUAAUGUGAGUUAAUGUGAGUUAAUUAUUUAGAAUAAAUAAUUGAAAUCCAAAUAUGGCUAUUUAAUUUCAACUCAAGUCAUUCAAUGUAAAUCAGAUGCAUUCUGCUAUCCAAAUACAGUAUUGCUUUUUAACUCUUGUUUAUAACCCUUUUGCUAAUAAAAAUGCUCAUUUAACAUCCCA